AGCUUUGCACAGUGGCAAUAUUGUAGCCAAUGAGGUUUAUCUGAGGGGCGAUUACUGCUAAUUGGAAACUUUUCCAGUACCCUGCUGUGACAACCUGAAAUGUUAUAUUUUUUCAUCCACUGUAUGGAAUAAAA
ensembl:snRNA U4 U4 spliceosomal RNA